rfam:Brassica napus, WGS project CCCW01000000 data, contig: 20037
GGAAUAUAAGAAUCCGUCUCUUAACUUUUAACUAAAAAAGCUAAGAACCGGUUCUUAAAUAAGAGUUUGAAGAGCCGGUUCUUAACUUUUUUAGUUAAAAGUUAAGAGACGGGUUUUUAUAUUCC